GAUGAACGCUGGCGGCGUGCCUAAUACAUGCAAGUCGAGCGAACAGAUAAGGAGCUUGCUCCUUUGACGUUGGCGGCGGACGGGUGAGUAACACGUGGGUAACCUACCUAUAAGACUGGGAUAACUUCGGGAAACCGGAGCUAAUACCGGAUAACAUUUGGAACCGCAUGGUUCUAAAGUGAAAGAUGGUUUUGCUAUCACUUAUAGAUGGACCCGCGCCGUAUUAGCUAGUUGGUAAGGUAACGGCUUACCAAGGCGACGAUACGUAGCCGACCUGAGAGGGUGAUCGGCCACACUGGAACUGAGACACGGUCCAGACUCCUACGGGAGGCAGCAGUAGGGAAUCUUCCGCAAUGGGCGAAAGCCUGACGGAGCAACGCCGCGUGAGUGAUGAAGGGUUUCGGCUCGUAAAACUCUGUUAUUAGGGAAGAACAAAUGUGUAAGUAACUGUGCACGUCUUGACGGUACCUAAUCAGAAAGCCACGGCUAACUACGUG
rnacentral:rRNA from 1 species